rnacentral:rRNA from 1 species
UACGGAAGGCAGCAGUGGGGAAUAUUGCACAAUGGGCGCAAGCCUGAUGCAGCCGUGCCGCGUGUAUGAAGAAGGCCUUCGGGUUGUAAAGUACUUUCAGUCGUGAGGAAGGUGUUAAGGUUAAUAACCUUAGCAAUUGACGUUAGCGACAGAAGAAGCACCGGCUAACUCCGUGCCAGCAGCCGCGGUAAUACGGAGGGUGCGAGCGUUAAUCGGAAUUACUGGGCGUAAAGGGCACGCAGGCGGUUAAUUAAGUUGGAUGUGAAAUCCCCGGGCUUAACCUGGGAAUGGCAUUCAAGACUGGUUAGCUAGAGUCUUGUAGAGGGGGUUAGAAUUCCAUGUGUAGCGGUGAAAUGCGUAGAGAUGUGGAGGAAUACCGGUGGCGAAGGCGGCCCCUGGACAAAGACUGACGCUCAUGUGCGAAAGCGUGGGGAGCAAACAGGGAUUAGAUAC